rnacentral:rRNA from 1 species
UACGUAGGGGGCAAGCGUUGUCCGGAUUUAUUGGGCGUAAAGAGCGUGUAGGCGGCUAGGUAGGUCCGUUGUGAAAACUCGAGGCUCAACCUCGAGACGUCGAUGGAAACCAUCUAGCUAGAGUCCGGAAGAGGAAAGUGGAAUUCCUGGUGUAGCGGUGAAAUGCGCAGAUAUCAGGAAGAACACCAAUGGCGAAAGCAGCUUUCUGGGACGGUACUGACGCUGAGACGCGAAAGCGUGGGGAGCGAACAGG